GUGGGGAAUUUUGGACAAUGGGCGCAAGCCUGAUCCAGCAAUGCCGCGUGCAGGAAGAAGGCCUUCGGGUUGUAAACUGCUUUUGUACGGAACGAAACGGUCCUGGCUAAUAUCCGGGGCUAAUGACGGUACCGUAAGAAUAAGCACCGGCUAACUACGUGCCAGCAGCCGCGGUAAUACGUAGGGUGCGAGCGUUAAUCGGAAUUACUGGGCGUAAAGCGUGCGCAGGCGGUGCUGUAAGACAGGCGUGAAAUCCCCGGGCUCAACCUGGGAAUUGCGCUUGUGACUGCAAGGCUGGAGUGCGGCAGAGGGGGAUGGAAUUCCGCGUGUAGCAGUGAAAUGCGUAGAUAUGCGGAGGAACACCGAUGGCGAAGGCAAUCCCCUGGGCCUGCACUGACGCUCAUGCACGAAAGCGUGGGGAGCAAACAGGAUUAGAAACCCUUGUAGUCC
rnacentral:rRNA from 1 species